CCUACGGGGGGCUGCAGUCGGGAAUCUUGCACAAUGGGCGAAAGCCUGAUGCAGCAACGCCGUGUGAGCGACGAAGGCCCUAGGGUCGUAAAGCUCUGUUGUUAGGGACGAAGGGCGAAGGGUUAAUAGCCCUUAGCCUGACGGUACCUUUCGAGGAAGCCCCGGCUAACUACGUGCCAGCAGCCGCGGUAAUACGUAGGGGGCGAGCGUUGUCCGGAAUUAUUGGGCGUAAAGGGCGCGUAGGCGGCCCGGUAAGUCUGCUGUGAAACCCUGGG
rnacentral:rRNA from 1 species